CCUACGGGAGGCAGCAGUGGGGAAUUUUGGACAAUGGGGGCAACCCUGAUCCAGCCAUUCCGCGUGAGUGAAGAAGGCCUUCGGGUUGUAAAGCUCUUUCAGCUGGAGUGAAACGGUGCGCUCUACCAUAGCGCGCUAAUGACGGUACCAGCAGAAGAAAGCACCGGAUAAUUACGUGCCAGCAGCCGAGGUAAUACGUAGGGUGCGAGCGUUAAUCGGAAUUACUGGGCGUAAAGCGUGCCGCAGCUGGAUUGUUAAGCAAGAUGUGAAAUUCCCCGGGCUUAACCUGGGAAUGGCAUUUGAACUGGGCAGUCCUAAAGUGCGUCAGAGGGGGGUGGAAUUCCACGUGUAGCAGAGAAAUGCGUAGAGAUGUGGAGGAACACCGAUGCCGAAGGCAGCCCCCUGGGAUGACACUGACGCUCAUGUACGAAAGCGUGGGUAGCAAACAGGAUUAGAUACCCUGGUAGUCCACGCCCUAAACGAUGUCAACUGGUUGUUGGGGGAGUGAAAUCCCUUAGUAACGAAGCUAACGCGUGAAGUUGACCGCCUGGGGAGUACGGUCGCAAGAUUAAACUCAAAGGAAUUGACGGGACCCG
rnacentral:rRNA from 1 species